rnacentral:lncRNA from 1 species
ACCAACCACAGAGAUGGCCCUGACCCAGGCCUGCUGGGUACUGAAGAACAGAAAGUCAGGUUACUCAUGUAGAAGCAUGACUUAUUGAGCCUAAGUUGUGUCAAGGACCCCAAACUCUAAAAGACUGGUUCUCAAACUUUUACCUGUUCCAAGUACACCAAGGAUGGAACUAAUGAGUGUCUACCAGGUAGGUACACAGCAUGACCUUAAAGAGAUGCUUAGCUGAGGAGUGAGGAACAUGACCUCAAAGCAUCACAUCACAAUUUCCAGAGAGACGUGAGGUUUGGAGACUCUGUGUUUUUCUAGCCCAUCUAGUUUGGAAAGAAAUAGGAAACAUUCACAUACAGGCAAGUUUUGGAAAUCUUGAUACCUGAUACCUCCCUGACUAUUGUAAGUAAAGCUAUUUGCCAGGAAAAUGAGAAAUAAAAUUAGAACAAGAAUGAGGAAAUCGUAGCUGGAAAGGACUGGAAAUAAGAAUGGAAACCAGCUAAAUGAAAAGAUAUGCAUCAAUAAUUAGCUGAGAUACACUUUUUAUGUUCAACAAAUGUUCCAUAUUUGACAAAAGAAAUAUAUCACAGGGAAAAUAAAGCAGUGAAUUCUUUUUGUUCUAAAUGUGUACUCUUAAAUGUAAGCAAAAAACUUAAAAUUCAAAGGAUAUGAACAGAAUAGUUGUAAAAGUCUUUGCCAGCCUGCUUUCAAUUUGACAAAAUAGACAAGAAUAAAUAAUAGAGUUACGUCAAUAGAAAUGUAUUUUUAGCUUUGUGACUUUAUGAUCAGAGAAUAUAUUGUGAUCAGAGAAUAUAUUGCAUUUUAGCAUAUACAUAAGUAGUUUUAAAAAGUUGACUCUAUAGCAAGGAACAAGGAAAAAUAACAGUAAAUUCCCCAAAGAAAAGUGUAUUAGAAGGUAACACAUCCCACUAAGAAAUAAAAAAGCAGCCAGCUAAGUAACUGUGGAACCCAGGAGAAAAUACAACACAGUUACAACAUAAUUAGAACAUAAGAUCACUUAGUACUUCAGCAAAAAUGUUAUUCAGGGGUAAAUUCAUAGACUUUAAAUCUUUUAAAGAGAGAGAAUGAGAAUACAAGGAUGCAAGAUAAAAGAGGAAGGAGCACAAGAAGAAUGAGAAGAAUAAUAAAGUUAAAAGCAGAACUUUCCAAAUGAGAAAAAUAAAACUGUAAAGUUGGUUAUUUUUUGCAAAAAUGGAAGUUUUUUUUUUUUCUUUUAUAAUGUCUGUAUCAUGUGAUGGUGGAUGUUUUAUACAGUCAUGAUGUCAGGAAAUAAAGGAAAUAAAGGCUACAUGAUAGCCAUGGUUGUAUUUGUUUGAGAGAAGGAGAUUUUUUAACCAAACCUAAUUAUUUACCCAAAAUGUUGAUAAGCGAAGACCUUUGUUAUUAGGAUAUUUUAUUCCAUUACUUGAAGAAAGUAAUUAUUAAGGUCUUGUUUUGCCACAAGUCCUUUGGUUUCUUGCUGAGGUCUACUUGUCUACCAUAAAUAUUUUAUUUACUAUGAAUUUUCCUAAGAUAUAGUGACUGCUGAAGAAGAAUGAAAGAAAUGAGCCAAAUUUGAGGAUUCUAAUCUGGGAAUAAUACUUUAUAAAGCUCUGAGAACUUUUCUGCCCAUUAGAAGUCAAGGUACACUUAUGUGAGUUUUUUGAGACAGAGGGCUGUGUGUUAAAUCACAUAUUGUUGACCGUUUGCACAAUCCACAUCUAAGUAUCGUUGUGGCCCCUUAGGAGAUAGAGAAGGAACAUUGUCUUUUAAGGUGUCUUGUUGAUGCUGGGAGAAUGUUGCUCUUUAAGGUUGGAUGGAUAUUUCUGCCAGUGGAGAAGUUUUGGUGGAUCCCUAAUGUAGAUACACAUUGUCCCGUGGGGGUGGGGUGGCAAAGGCCAGAGAAAAUUUUUUUGUUUAAAUUUUUCUUGUUUUGCCACAAAAUAUGAAUUUAUAUCACUCUAUAUAGAAUUAGAAUAGUUUUUUUUUUUCCAUACCCACAGCAUGCAGAAGUUCCCAGGCCAGGGAUCAAACCCAUGCCACAGCAGUGACCCAAGCCUCUGCAGUGACAAUGCUGGAUCCUUAACCCACUGUACCACAAGGGAACUCGAAUAAUUCUUUUAAAAUCUUUUUGUCAUCCAUGUGGAUCAUCUACCUACUUGAUCUGAGGAUUUUUCCCCCCUCUGUCCCUUACAUUUUACUGGUUCCACAAAGACAGGGGGUUUGGUCUGUUUGUUUACUAUAAUUCUUCAGAACCUAGAACAGUGCCUGGUCUACAGAGGCUCUCAGUACAUUGCUGAACAAACCAAUGAAAGGAAAUGCAAGCCCAUAGUUAAAUCAGACCUUGUACCAGAAAAGCACUUAGGCAGAACUUUCUUUGAGUAGACAUUUAAAUAAAUAUAUUGAUAGUCUUUGAUAUUUUAUACCACUUGAUAUUCUGCACCAUCAGAGACAUGGAGUUGUAUUUCAUUUCUUUAGGAAUUUUAGAAACUCCUUCCUGUGGGGCUAGACCUCAAAAGUCCCCAAGACUUGUUUCAAUACUUUUAGGCCUCUUUCUUCAGAUAGAUUUCAAAACCAUGUAUUUUAAGGGGCUCUAUAACAAUAUUAUACAUUAGAAUGUAUCUGCAAAUGGACAGACCAGAAUGGAAUGUGUAUUCAGAAUUGUUAAUUUGAGAGUGAUGAGACUGUCAGUCAUUUUCCUUUCUUAAGCUCUUCUCGUGUCACAAAUGGAGAGUCAACCUGACCCAGAGUUACCCUCCCAGUGGUCCCAUCUCUGCUGGUCCCCCUUCUUCUGCAGUUGGUCUGCAGACUUGAGACCAGGCCAGAGGCAGGACACCAUCUCCUGGACUAGGAUGAUUGGUCCAGGGGUGGAAGUGACCCAAACCACCAAUCAGAGCCCUUUUCAAACAAAAGAUCUGAGACAGUGUUAUUCUGGAAUGACCUACUGCUGCCUCCCUCGUAGAGGAAGGCCAUCUCUAUCUGAAAAAGGAACCAGUGUACCAAAAAGGAAGUUGCUGUGCAAGAUGGCAUCAGGCACUCCCACCGCCAGCUCCACUUCUGCCACGUGCAGCCUUAACUUCCUCUCCUUCUGUGAGGAAUUAUCUCAACAUGCUUGCACUUCCUUUGUUCUAAAGUGGAUUUCUGUUGCUUGCAAGCAGAAACAUCCUAAUUCAGUCAUUCGAAUUCUUUGGAAUAUAUUUUGUUUGAAAGAAGAAAGUCGACGUUUUUAAUAAAAUAUACUUGGGGAAAACUCUCUACCUUUGGGACUGGACUAUGGAUUGUGCUUGAAUUUUUUAUCUACAACAUGCAAAUUAGAUGCAGAUUUUGUUGUGGUAAUAUCAAGUGUCUUAGCCAUAAAAUAAAUGAAUGCAGACUGUUGGCAACUUUCCCUUAGGCUAAGAAAAUGAGCAGUUCCACAGCAUUUCUGUUUUGGAAGGCUUACCCUUUGGAGGCCUAGUCAAAGAAAGUUCUUUACUGAAGUCAUGAGACCUUAGAGCUGUUUUUAAACCUACCCAUAUAGCCCAAAAGAGCCCUUGAGAGUUUUCUUCUUCAAAGAAGUUUAAUAUGCCUACUAGCAAAUCAGUCUACUAGCAAAUUUUUCUGAGAAUACUGUACACAAAUUCCCCAUGUCUUCCUCCUAUUGAAGCAUACAUUUACUUUCCCCCUACUCCAUAUUUGAUGUGAAAUAUUUCAAAGGGGUUAGAGAACAUAUGCGGAGUGACUGUACCUUUCACCAAAUGUAAAAAUUGGAAAGUACAAUUCAUUUUCCCUAGGCUGCCGCAACCCAGAGGAAAACUUAAAUUAGCCUUAAUAGUAACAAGAAGUGUUUUGUAUUUGCUUUUUUUUUUUUUUUUUUUUUUUUUUAAAUUCUGUCCCAACUGCCAGACAGCCUCAUAAAGCUUUCCCUAAUUAUUUGGGGGAAUUGCUGUAGAGCUGCUCCAACAGUCAGAUAGAGUCCACAACGCUCUCUGACUCUGACUUCAGCUCCUGCAGAAACGUCCGCUGCUAGCAGCUAUGGAAGGCACUGCAGGGCUGAUGCUGCAACAGGGGCCAACUGUGGCUGCCACACCCUACCCUGGAGCCCUCGGAGCCCCUCAGGGACUGGGUGUAGGUGAGGAGGCUGUGGAUGUCUCACACUAGGCCCUGGAGCUCUAUGUUCCUUCCCGAAGCAGGGGGUUCUCCCAUCUCCUGUUAGGUACAUGGUUCCCAAGAGAGCAUGGCCAUGUGCCCCAGCGUGAUUUUAUAGUGCUGCAAUACAGGGCUCUUCAAACUCGUUUGAUAUAAAGUAGCUUUUCUUUUGUUGAAACAUUUAUUUUGAAACACAAAUGAGCUGGUUGGCUAUCUAGUAUAAGUCAGAUUUUUAUUGUUGUUCAGUUUUAAUAGUUUUUGAAGGCAAUCUAGGUUAGGCAAGAACAAAAUGCCAUUGUUUGCCUUUGAUUGGGGGAUGGGAAGGGGAUGUUCUCUACACAUCUCCUUCUUUAACUUUGCACUUUCUUUAUAUAAUACUUUGUAUUGUGGGUAUUUACUGCCCUGGAUACAUUCAGGAAGAAUGAAUUAAAUAUUCAGGGUGAGUGAAUUCAGUAUAAGAUCUAAAGUCUUCAGUUGUGAAAACAGAAAAAAUAGAUAACAUUUUAUCUUUACCGUGGAGGAUGAUGGUUGCAUGUUUCUAAUUGGCAUAUGUUUCCCUCUUUGUGAUAAGAUGCUUUAAUAAAUCUCAAAUAUUAAAAAAAGUAGAAUAUUUGGUGAAAUGGGCCAUGUGCUUCUUUGUUGGUGAUUGCUGUACUCAGAACCUCUGUCCCUCCUUUGGACUCAAGCAGUGUUUCUGGUCUAUGUCUGGGUCCCCAGGGCCCUCUUCUCUGAGACCGGGCUCCUCUGCAGGUCUCCUAAUUCUCUGUACACAUGGACCAUUGGCCGACUCACCCACCCAUCCUGCAGACCAGUCUAAGUCUUAGAGCAACAUAUGUUAUUCCCAACUUGGUUUACUCUUCUAAGGAAGGACCUCAUGUCUGUUAGAUUUAUUUGAUAUCAUUACGUGCACAGUAACAAUUUUCACAUAGAUUAAGAGAAAAUUGCUUAGGAGAAAAUGGAACGGCUGGCAGUGGUUUGUGAUGUAUGGUGCAUUCAGACAAUUAGGUACAAUGUGGAGUUUUCAAGUAACGAUCAUGAAGAUUAUGUAGCCACAUGGAAACAUGCUCAUUAUAUAUUUUGAAGUGGAAAAAUCAGGAUGCAAAAUUAUAUGUAUGUUAUGAUUAUAACUAUUAUUACUUGUGAUUAUAACCAUUAUUACUUAUGAUUUUUGUUGUAUAGGAAUAGGUAGAGAAUAUAGCAGAGUGUUAGAAUGAGGGCCAUGGGUUACAUCAUAACAAAAGGGUACUUUUUAGCAUGUUUAUUGUCUAUAUAUAUAUAUAUAUAUAUAUAUAUGCUGAAUAUAUACUUUACUAAACAGCAUAUAUUUAGUAAAGUCUAAACUGUUAGCAGUAUUAAACAUUGAGUAACCUUCCUAUUUUUUAAAACAUAAUUCCUAAACACCAGCACUAAAGAAUCUUUUAGUCCAUCUGAUUACUGAAAAAACCUGAAGUAAAUAAAAUAUAAUUUUUUUAUCUCUUAACUCUCCCCCCUCAUAAUGAAUGAUUUGUAUGACAACGACUUGUUACGUAAACACAGAAGGGAAGAUUAAAAAAGAAAUAAUUCAUCUUCUGCAGUACUAUAGUAAUGCCUUUAUAAUAUACUGGCCCUUUUUGUUAUGAUUUGUAAGUUUGUUAGCGUCGGAGCAGAAGAUGGCAAAGGUUAUAAUGGAAUAGAACCUAAUAAAGGGACUAUUUACAAAGGUAUGGGGAGAUGUAGGCAACACAAAAGGAAGGGAGGGUGAAGCGUGCAGGAGCGGGCAGCUCUCUGGAAGGUAUCACUAUGCAGCCUGAAGGAGCAGCAGGAUGAACAGACCUGGAGCCUAGUGAGAGCGGUUGCCAUGGGGGCUGCCUGGCAGGAGCUGUGGCCACAGAGAAACAGAAUUGUUGCUGAAAUAGUAUGGGUAUCUGGCAGAGGAAGGUGUAUACCCUAGUCUCUCUCCUUUACCCGCUGAUAGCCUGUCAGUGCCUCUUCGGCCAAACCCAAUUUCAGACCAAGAGGUCAAGGUUGUUUAGUGAUACCCACCUGUGGUACAGCCUCUCCAGAAACAUCUUGCUUUCAAUGCCCCAGAUCAGGGAUAUCGGCUCUCAUUUUGACUCAGAAUUACCUCUUUUUUUUCUUUUACAGCUGCACCUGUGGCAUAUGAAAUUUCCUGGGCUAGGGGUUGAAUUGGAGCUACAGCUGCCGGCUACAUCACAGCCACAGCAAUGCCAGAUCUGAGCAGUGUCUGUGACCUGUGCUGCAGCUUGCUGUAAUCCCAGAUCCAUAGCCAGUGGGAGCAAGGCCAGGGAUCAAAUCUGCAUCCUCACGAGACUACAUUGGAUGCAUAACCCGCUGAGCCACAAUGGGAACUCCUCAAAGUGAACUCUUGAGUCCCCUACCCCCACCCCGUUCUGGUUCAAUUUCCUAGAGUCAGGGUGGAAGUGGUUUUAGAGACCGGACAUCAACACUUUCCUCCGAAAGAGGCCAUAGAGGUCAGGGUAGCUGAUGGGUGUGAUGGUGCUUAAUGACUUCCCAGUGUAAUCAGAGGUGGAUGUCAUUGAUUUUUCAGUCCUUCAGCCAGCCCUUCCUGGUGCUAGAAUAGAACUGGGUGGCUAACAUUGCAUAUAAAGACAUCUGAGGGCUGUCCCAGCAGCUGUCACAGUACCAGGGAACAUCAUCUCUUGGAAUACUUCCUAGAAGACAAAGUUUUGAGUAGACUCUGGCACCUAAAAUGGGUAUUUAUACAACAGGCGAGGGGGCAGAACAGCCUUUACAGGUAGGGGCACGUGCAGGAAUCGAUGUAACAAGAGGAGAUCAAGUUUGCCUCACAAUUUUAAAAUGACACUUU